rnacentral:lncRNA from 1 species
UUCUGACAGGAGCCAACAGACCCCGAUCCAAAUUUCUUUCGGAGCUUCGUCAGUACAUCAGUGGCCAAACUUUCCCAACAUCAGAUCUCCACGACGGACGGACUCCAUCCAAAUUUCUACGAUAGUCGACCGCCUUCCAGACUUCUUCUCCGAUCUCCUACUGCAGGUGGACUUCAUCCGGGCUCCUACGGGAGCCAGACUUCUUCUCCGAACUCCUACUGCAAGUGGACUUCAUCCGGGCUCUUACGGGAGCCGGACUUCUUCUCCGAACUCCU